GUGCUUCCUUCAGCAGCACAUAUACUACAAUUAGAAUGAUGCAGUGAUUAACAUGGCCCUGUGCAAGAAUGACAUGUAGGUUCAUGAAGCAUUGCAUUUUUCC
ensembl:snRNA U6 U6 spliceosomal RNA